rnacentral:rRNA from 1 species
AACGAACGCUGGCGGCAGGCCUAAAACAUGCAAGUCGAACGGGUGUAGCAAUACAUCAGUGGCGCACGGGUGAGUAACGCGUGGGAACGUGCCCUUCAGUACGGGACAACGUCGGGAAACUGACGCUAAUACCGUAUAAUAUCUCCGGAUCAAAGAUUUAUCGCUGAAGGAUCGGCCCGCGUCUGAUUAGUUUGUUGGUGAGGUAACGGCUCACCAAGACUACGAUCAGUAGCUGGUCUGAGAGGAUGAUCAGCCACACUGGGACUGAGACACGGCCCAGACUCCUACGUGAGGCAGCAGUUAGGAAUAUUGGACAAUGGGGGAAACCCUGAUCCAGACAUGCCGCGUGUGUGAUGAAGGCCUUAGGGUUGUAAAGCACCUUCGUUGGGGAUGAUAAUGACCGUACCCAAAGAAGAAGCCACGGCUAAAUUCGUGCCAGCCGCCGCGGUAA